CUUUCUCUUUCCAUUUUUUAUGGCCAAAAAUUCCAAGCCUGCGGGUGGGAAUUCCAGUCCUUAUCGAUAUACUGGAAAACAAUCGAUAUCUGUCCAUGGAAAAAACUGAACACAGAGAAUGCAGUUGUGGUCUCUUCAUGUCAUUCCCACCGAGAGAAUCUGGAGGUCUUUGGAGAAAUGACCAGAUCUGGGGGAAAGUGUGCCCACCGAGCCUACAACGUCUUGUUCUACCAGCAAGCGCAAGACUAAAAGGUUAACUCUUCACACUCCUGAUGAAAUCUGUGAAGUGCAUAGAGUCUGGCCCUGCCCUCGGGGCCCUCCACAGCCGGUGUCAGAAUCAACAGGUGGACAGAGCUCCAGACCCUGGCCCCUUACCGCUGGCCACAGCAUCCUGAGCACCCUGCCCAGAAUCUCCGGCCUCGGGUUCCUCUUCUGCGGAAAGCAGAUGAUGACGCCUGCAUCACGGACGGCAUAGUUGGGACGGCGGAGUGACCACAGACUGGGGAAGCGACUUGGGAAGGUCACUAUGGCUGAGUUAGCAGUGGGUUGCUUGUUGUUUUCUUCUGUUUGUGGUGAUCCUUUCUUUCCCAAGUGACCCCUGUUUUGUGACAUUCAUUCUUCCCAUUUGUCACUGAAAAUCGUUGCUGGUCUAUAUACACAGCAUAGUGCUGUUCUAAUAAAAACCAACGUUCUAAUAAAAACCAGU